AACAAGUUUCUUUACAAUAUGAAUUUGAUGCUCAGAAGUGUACAACAACUUCAGAAUUGUUGUGUACAAACAUAAAAGGGCACAACCUGAUUCAAGUGAGUUGGACAUCUCAAAUACAAAAUGGCAUAUAUAACCUUAUUUAUUUAAGAACAUUCACUAAGUAAAUUAAUUAUGUUUGAUCUUCGCAUUGACGCCACUGAACAAUUGAAUCUCCACAAGUUAUACAAGUUGAUUUCCUCCAUACUGUAAAUUUUCAUCUAGUUAAACACAUGCCUAGUUUGCUGGGGCUACCUGAAACCUGAUCUGCAGAGGCCAUCAGAACAUGUCCCGCAGGGUGGAAGCUCAUUUUCAGCAACAACUUUGCAAAACACACAAAUUAGAAAGGUGGAAAGUAGAUGAUAUUAAGCAAUAAGCAAGCAUAAGCAUGACGAAAAAUAGCACAUCUAUAGGUUUAGGCAAUGUAUAGUUCAAUCGCAGUCAUCAUCUGACAUUUGCAAUAAUGGAUAAAUAGAAUGCAAGUGACUACUAUUGCCUUUCCAGUCUGGAACAAAUAUUUGCAAAAAUAGAAUGGUAUUUUCACCUGGUUGUUUUCCAUCCAUGCUAUGCAAAUUUUAUGUCUGCCAUGAAGUUUCAUAAGUUGACUUUUUAGUUGUCACGUUUUGUAACCAUCUAGUCGUAUUGCUAAAAAAAAGUCACUUGUGAUUAUCAGGUGCUAUCACAGAUUGUCCCUAAAAAAAAAUUUCAAUAAGAAUGCAUGGAUGUAGAAUUAGUAAGCUUUCAACGUCGGUGGUAUACAACAUGGUCGUAGAGCUUACCGUUUUAGAGGCUGAACAUUUUACCGAACACCUUGCAGGCAGCGGAGGCUACAGCAGCUUCAACGUGGGGAAGGGGGCGGUGCUGCACAGGGCCGGGCCAGUAAGCUAGGAUGUAACGGAGCCCGGGUCCCAGGAACACCACGAUUUCCGCCAUCUUCAGCCAAGGCUCUCCAUGAGCCCACAGCUUGGAACUCAAUUUUUUGGUGAACCGCGUUCAAUCCGACGAGGAGCAACAUGGUUAUGGGUGGGAAAAGAUCAAGUUAUCAAGGAGGAACUCGAUUUGGGCUGCAGCGAGGCUCACUCUGAUAAAUCUUUUCUGGUGGAGGGGAUAUGCGACGGGGAGGAGAGCAGGGAGGGAAGGGAAGGGGAGACGAGGAGUGGAAGAGCCAAGGGAGGUUGAGGCUACGGCAGGGAGAGCGGGCAGCGGCAACCCGUCGGGCGAGCGCAGGUCGGUGGCGAGGAGAGCGAUGUGAAUGUGAGUCAGCACACCGGACGACGCAGGAGAAGCACGAGCUCUCCUCCAGCUUCAGCGGGCGGAGGCGGAGGGGAUAAAGUGUGCUGGGAUCGACGGCUCGAGCAAACGCGACUGCUACUGUAGGAGGCUUGGGCGGCUGCGGCAAAGGAAUUAGAGUUGGCAAUGGGCCGGCGAAAUCGAUGGCCGGCGGCAAGCAGGCGGCGGCGGGCCGCGGGCCGUGCUGCAGGUGGAGGGAGGAGCGUCCGGCGCGGCAGGCGUAGAGC
rnacentral:lncRNA from 1 species